rnacentral:lncRNA from 1 species
AUCCCACAUUAAAUCAAGGGGUGUGAAUACUUUCUGAAGGUACAUUAGGCCUUACAUUUACUUACAGGUCAACUGAUAUGAACCAGAAGCCAGACAUGGAGUCUUCCUCAAUGAAGAAGUCAUCCUGCAAUUCUGAGGAUCUUAAUAAGGAGAUAUAUUCCCUCAAAAUAAGUCUGUCUGAAGAUGAUGCAGAUUUUCCAGAGAGGGAAACUGAAAGUGGCAACCUUGAGAGACCUGUGUCUCCAGUAUUCAGUGUGCUGUCAAUGGAGAGUGAUGUCUUCUCCAAUGACGUCACUGAUAAGGACAUUCUUGACUCAAGGUGAUACGUAUAUCCUGGUAGUUUCACUACAUUUCAAUCAUAUUACAAAGGGUUGAAUCAGAGG